rnacentral:rRNA from 1 species
AGAGUUUGAUCCUGGCUCAGAUUGAACGCUGGCGGCGUGCUUUACACAUGCAAGUCGAGCGGCAGCAUGACCUCGGUUGUAUGGCGAGCGGCGAACGGGUGAGUAAUACAUCGGAACGUACCUUUAGUUGGGGUAGUAACGCAUCGAAAGAUGUGCUAAUACCGCAUAAUACUCUGAGGAGGAAAGGACGGGGAGUCACGUAAGUGACCUGUCGCUGAAGAGCGGCCGAUGGUCGAUUAGCUAGUUGGCGGGGUAAAAGGACCCACCAAGGCGAUGAUCGAUAGCGGGUCUGAGAGGACGAUCAGCCACACUGGGACUGAGACACGGCCCAGACUCCUACGGGAGGCGAC